rnacentral:misc_RNA from 1 species
UCUCCGUUGGUGAACCAGCGGAGGGAUCAUUACAGGACUCGCAAGACUCCUACAACCCUGUGAACUUAACUAUAAGCACGUUGCUUCGGCGGGCGUCUCUGAGGGGUUUCUCCCUCCCCGAGACGCUAAACCCGCCGGCAGCCUACUAUACUCUGUCUCUUUGCGUUGGCAUCUCGAGUACAAUCAAACAAGUUAAAACUUUCAACAACGGAUCUCUUGGUUCAGGCGUCGAUGAAGAAAGCAGC